UACGGAGGGUGCGAGCGUUGUCCGGAAUCAUUGGGCGUAAAGGGCGCGUAGGUGGCCCGGUCAGUCUUUGGUGAAAGCGCGGGGCUCAACCCUGCGUCGGCCAGGGAUACUGCCGCGGCUCGAGCACUGUAGAGGCAGGCGGAAUUCCGGGUGUAGCGGUGGAAUGCGUAGAGAUCCGGAAGAACACCGGUGGCGAAGGCGGCCUGCUGGGCAGUUUGGCUGACACUGAGGCGCGACAGCGUGAGGAGCAAACAGG
rnacentral:rRNA from 1 species